rnacentral:rRNA from 1 species
UACGGAGGGUGCGAGCGUUGUCCGGAAUCACUGGGCGUAAAGGGUGCGCAGGCGGCGGUUCGCGUGGCGAGAUGAAGUCUCCUGGCUUACCUGGGAGGGUGGUCGCCAGACGGGAUCGCUUGAGGGUCGGAGAGGGGCGUGGAAUUCCGGGUGGAGCGGUGAAAUGCGUAGAUAUCAUUUGGAACGCCAAUGGUGAAAACAGCUCGCUGGGGGUUUGCUGACGCUGAGACACGAAAGCCAGGGGAGCAAACGGG